rnacentral:rRNA from 1 species
GUUGGCUUAGAAGCAGCCACUCAUUUAAAGAGUGCGUAAUAGCUCACUAGUCGAGAGAUCCUGCGCCGAAAAUGUCCGGGGCUCAAACUUACCACCGAAGCUACGGGCUUGCGUAAGCAAGCGGUAGGGGAGCGUCGUAAUCGGGCUGAAGUCGUACCGUAAGGAGCGGUGGACUGAUUACGAGUGAGAAUGUUGGCAUUAGUAGCGAGAUGUAGGUGAGAAUCCUACAGGCCGAAUAUCUAAGGUUUCCUCAGGAAGGCUCGUCCGCUGAGGGUUAGUCGGGACCUAAGCCGAGGCCGAAAGGCGUAGGCGAUGGACAAUCGGUUGAUAUUCCGAUACCACUACCAUCGUUAUUAUCGAGGGUGUGACGGAGAAGGAUAGUGUGUGCUAGCGAUUGGAAAUGCUAGUCUAAGCGUUUAGGGAGUUACGGUAGGCAAAUCCGCUGUAACAAUUCUGAGGCGUGAUGGGGAAGGCCAUAUAGGCCGAAGUACAUGAUUCCAUGCUUCCAAGAAAAGCAUCUAGAGAGAGAAGUAGUGCCCGUACCGCAAACCGACACAGGUAGAUGAGGAGAGAAUCCUAAGGCCGGCGGAAGAAUUGCAGUUAAGGAACUAGGCAAAUUGACCCCGUAAGUUCGCGAGAAGGGGUGCCUGCGAGAGCAGGCCGCAGAGAAUAGGCCCAAGCAACUGUUUAGCAAAAACACAGGUCUCUGCUAAAGCGUAAGCUGAUGUAUAGGGGCUGACGCCUGCCCGGUGCUGGAAGGUUAAGGGGAACACUUAGCGCAAGCGAAGGUGUGAACUUAAGCCCCAGUAAACGGCGGCCGUAACUAUAACGGUCCUAAGGUAGCGAAAUUCCUUGUCAGGUAAGUUCUGACCCGCACGAAUGGCGUAAUGACUUGGGCACUGUCUCAACUGCAAAUCCGGCGAAGUUGUAGUGCGAGUGAAGAUGCUCGCUACCCGCGAUUGGACGGAAAGACCCCGUAGAGCUUUACUGUAGCUUAGCAUUGAAUUCCGGUAUUGUCUGUACAGGAUAGGUGGGAGACUGGGAAACUAGGGCGUCAGCCUUAGUGGAGUCAACCUUGGGAUACCACCCUGACAGUACUGGGGUUCUAACAGGACGCCAUGAAUCUGGUGACUGGACAUUGUUAGGUGGGCAGUUUGACUGGGGCGGUCGCCUCCUAAAAAGUAACGGAGGCGCCCAAAGGUUCCCUCAGAACGGUCGGAAAUCGUUCGUAGAGUGCAAAGGCAGAAGGGAGCCUGACUGCGAGACAUACAAGUCGAGCAGGGACGAAAGUCGGGCUUAGUGAUCCGGUGGUACCUCGUGGGAGGGCCAUCGCUCAACGGAUAAAAGCUACCUCGGGGAUAACAGGCUGAUCUCCCCCAAGAGUCCACAU